rnacentral:rRNA from 1 species
GACGAACGCUGGCGGCGUGCUUAACACAUGCAAGUCGAACGAUGAAGCCGGAGCUUGCUCUGGUGAAUUAGUGGCGAACGGGUGAGUAACACGUGAGUAACCUGCCCUUGACUCUGGGAUAACUGCGGGAAACUGUAGCUAAUACCGGAUACGACCCUCGGAGGCAUCUCCUGGGGGUGGAAAGAAUUUCGGUCAAGGAUGGACUCGCGGCCUAUCAGCUAGUUGGUGAGGUAAAGGCUCACCAAGGCGACGGCGGGUAGCCGGCCUGAGAGGGUGACCGGCCACACUGGGACUGAGACACGGCCCAGACUCCUACGGGAGGCAGCAGUGGGGAAUAUUGCACAAUGGGCGCAAGCCUGAUGCAGCAACGCCGCGUGAGGGAUGAAGGCCUUCGGGUUGUAAACCUCUUUUAGCAGGGAAGAAGCGAAAGUGACGGUACCUGCAGAAAAAGCACCGGCUAACUACGUGCCAGCCGCCGCAGUAA